UCUCAAUCUUUAUUACAAUUAUUCUCCCAAAUAUUCUCUAAUUAAUUGUGGGAUAUUUUCAAGCUCUAUAAAUAAGAACCUAACCCUAACCUCACUAAACACACGCCUACACUCCCUCUCACACGCCCCCUCCCCUCUUCUUCACUCUCCCACACUUGUUCUUCCACUCUACUCAAGAUCCUUUCGAUUCGCCAAGAGUUUGUUGAAGAACCAAGAGUUUUAAACGUUUCUACCGAUUGUUUUGUUCAAGAAAGGUGAUAACUCGUGCUCGAAGCGUGAUAGCAAAGGAAAGGCAGUAGUUGAAAUCAAAACGGUCGAGGUUGAGCAGCGACGAGCGGUUGGUGGUGUUGAGCAG